rnacentral:rRNA from 1 species
UGAGCAAUCUGCCCUUCUCAUCGGAAUAAGCGUUGGAAACGACGUCUAAUGCCGAAUACGACCUCCUUUCGCAUGAUCGGAGGUGGAAAGCUCCGGCGGAGAAGGAUGAGCUCGCGGCCUAUCAGCUUGUUGGUGAGGUAAUUGCUCACCAAGGCGACGACGGGUAGCCGGCCUGAGAGGGUGACCGGCCACACUGGGACUGAGACACGGCCCAGACUCCCGUAGGGA